AGCGAACGCUGGCGGCAGGCCUAACACAUGCAAGUCGAACGCCCGUAGCAAUACGGGAGUGGCAGACGGGUGAGUAACGCGUGGGAACGUGCCCUUCGGUUCGGAAUAACCCAGGGAAACUUGGGCUAAUACCGGAUACGUCCGUAAGGAGAAAGAUUUAUCGCCGAAGGAGCGGCCCGCGUCCGAUUAGCUAGUUGGUGAGGUAAAGGCUCACCAAGGCGACGAUCGGUAGCUGGUCUGAGAGGANGACCAGCCACACUGGGACUGAGACACGGCCCAGACUCCUACGGGAGGCAGCAGUGGGGAAUAUUGGACAAUGGGCGCAAGCCUGAUCCAGCCAUGCCGCGUGGGUGAUGAAGGCCCUAGGGUUGUAAAGCCUUUCGGCGGGAAGAUAAUGACGGUACCCGCAGAAGAAGCCCCC
rnacentral:rRNA from 1 species